ACUUACAUUGUGGCCAAUUUAAUUGGAUUUUGAUGAAAUCUAUGACCUUGCUUUUCAUUACCUCUCUUGUGAAACUUUGUAUCGUUUGAGUACUUUUUAAUUUUUUUUGUAAAUUUGAAAUUUCUGUUGUGAUUCUGAUUUCUGGUUUUUUCAUUGGUGUGUUCACCCAAUUCUCCUCUUGACGGCGAAUAUCUGUUCUAAGGUUUCCUGAUUAAAAGAAAAAAAAAAAUUUAUUUUUUAAGGCUAUCCCGAAGUUAAUAAUUUGUAAACAUUCCUUUUAACUUACUCAAAAAUUUAUAAAUAGGUUGUCCUGAUCCGAAAUUUGUAAUGAGAUGUUGAUUAUGAUUUUCAGCGAUGUUGAUUGCAUCAUUUACGGUAAUUCCAAUAAAAGUUUCACUACUAAUUAAUUUUGAUAUUUUUGUUAUGAAUCUUGAGUAUAAAAUUAAAUUUUCAAAGUUAUCAGCAUCUUCUUCUGCACUUUCUUUUAUUACUUCAAUCGCUAAAUCUAUUUUAUCUUUUGGUAUUAUUUUAAAAAUCCAGCUGAUUUUACAAAUAUCGUUGUCAUAAUUAGCUGGAAGCUCCAAGCUGUUCCACUUACGUGAAAGAAGCUAAAAAAUUGAAAAUAAAUCAUAAACAGUGUUGGCAGGUCAUUGUGAGAGUUAAAGUAAUCCAAAUAAAUAAAAAAAAAAUUAUUUAAUAAACAAAUUAAUUAAAAUUUUCGCUUACUUUAAUAAAAUGAAACCACGAUUCCCUUAUGCUAACAUGUGGCAGCAUUUCUCUAGUUGCUAUCAACCACUCUUCAUCAUAAUGACACGUUAUUGUCGUUAUAUUUUCUUUUAAAAUUAAGCAUUUAUUGAUUAUAACUUUCCAGAUGGACCGAUAUAAUUCACAGCUCCUUUCCUCGCAGAGAACAUACAAUGCUGUAACUUCCUAUUUAAAAAAAAAAAAAAAUUUAAUAUAUAAAAUCGGACACAAUUUACAAUUUUUAUUUUACUUGUUGAUCAUGUUUUAUGUGGAACGUCAAUAGUUGAGCUGCUUCUGGAGCUACAGUUUAUAAAAAUUUUACCCUUGACGUUCCAUCAAUCGUUACUUCUUCCGCCGAUUCCAAUCGGUGCAGCAUGAUCGGUGACCCAAGAAUUACAGCGGUUUUCUGAUCAUUUUUUGCUUCUCCAAGAUAAAUAUUCUUAUAGAGUUCGUUGUCUUUUAAGAUGUUCC